rnacentral:lncRNA from 1 species
AUUGAUAAGCUGCAACAAAUAAUCACGACCAUUUCUUAUGAAACAGGCCAAGACACCGGAAUCUAAAAUGACGAAGAAAUUAAAAACACAUCUCUCAGUUAGGCAUUUGAACAACUAAAAAAUACAACACGAAUCAAAAGAAAGAUUCAGGGAGCACAAUAACAAUAGAUCCAUAUAUUGUAAAACCACAUCUGAAACUAUUUGAAAAGAAUCCAAAACGGUAAUCCAGAUCCAACCCAGAACCACGAUCUUCUUUCAUGUCUAUCCAAAAACUACCACUGGCGUUUGAUGAACAAGACCAUCAGUAACGAUAAAUUCGCAUAAACUAAUCGUUGGCGAGAAGAAACAGAACAAACUGAGGAGAAAAACACCAUUGUUGGACUAGACUUGCCAAAGAAUCAUGAUAGACCACCGACUCAACACCGACAACGCUCCUGUUAGAAGAUGUAAUUCAUUGUUUUAAUAUGAAAGUUGUAUUCGACAUAGUUGUGUUGGACAACUAGUCGAAGUAAGCUAAGUAGGAGUAAGAUGUGUUAGACGGAGUCAAAUACAACAUGUGUGUCAAGGUGUGUAAGCAUGUAUU